ensembl:processed_transcript Gm16169 predicted gene 16169
AACAAUUGGCAUUCAGGAUCUAAGGCACAGGAAAGUGAAAGAGAGGAAACAGCAGAUAAGAUCAUGUUGUCCUCUAAGAGGCUCCACCCAGCAGCUGACUCAGACAGAUGCAGAUACUCACAGCCAAACAGUGGAUGGAGCUUGGGGACUCUAAUGGAAGAACGGGAAGAAGGAUUGUGGGCCAAAAAGGGAAGAACACACUUUUAAAGACUUGGCCAUUUUAUCCUGCAUAUGGUGCUAGAAAAUGACACCAUGACCCAAGGUAACAUAAUAAAAUUUCUCUGACAUCAUUUCCCAAAACAGGGAUUCAACUAGCAGUCCUCUGUAGGGAAGAAGAGCUCCCCCCACCCCCACCCCCAACUCAGUAGUGGGUGUGAGAAACCUUGACUCUAACAGUGAGAAAGUUGAGUUGAAUAGUAAGCCAAACAGUUUGCUUUGCUUGCACUUCCACCUGCCACAACACACCUGCAGCACUGUAGCUGGAGAUGUUCCCCAUGCCUACAGUUCUACAGUGGGAAACGGUCACUGCAGACAGAUAUUCAGCUUUCCCCAUCUCAUCCUUUUCGGUAGGCUUAGGUAUGUAUUUUCUUCUGGGAAAUACUGGGCUUGCCAGGAGAGCCAAUCCACCUGUAGUCAGGUACAAAUGAGGUAUGGUUCUCAGCAGACAGGAUGUAGAUCUUGACACUGCUGUCCAUUCCACUGGGAGGUCUCACAACAGAGAAACUAGCCAAAUCAUGGCUGCCUGAAUGUCCCUGUCAGCAUCCCCAAACAGCUUGAUGUGUUCCAUCUUCUUCUGAUGAUUGUGAUCAGCAACGACCUGCAGCAGAGGCAUCCACUGCUAGUAUGUCUCCCAUAGUUACAGUGCUAGAAGGCUUAUCCUCCCAAUGUAAGAUUCCUGACUAAGUCAUCGAGCAUCCUCAGAAAAGGAAAGAGAGCCACCUCAAUAAAUACAUAGAAAUCAACCAAAAAUGCAUUAAAGAUUUAAAUUCCAGACCUGAAUCCAAAACUG